rnacentral:rRNA from 1 species
CGGGACGGGUGAGUAAUGUCUGGGAAACUGCCCGAUGGAGGGGGAUAACUACUGGAAACGGUAGCUAAUACCGCAUAAUGUCUGCGGACCAAAGCGGGGGACCUCCGGGCCUCGCGCCAUCAGAUGAACCCAUAUGGGAUUAGCUAGUAGGUGAGGUAACGGCUUACCUAGGCGACGAUCCCUAGCUGGUCUGAGAGGAUGAUCAGCCACACUGGGACUGAGACACGGCCCAG